GAAGAAUCCUAAACUCACAGCCCCGCGGUCGCCAGGGGUGAGGCCGGGCCACUGGAGAGCGCGGGGCUGGGCGGGCUGGGGAUCGCGGUAGGGCGGCCAAAAGUGUCCAGGCAACUCGACGGGCGGGCAGAGAGGAAAAGCAGCGGAGAAAAACAGAUUUCUCAACCCCGUGUCUGCCUCCCUCUGGCCCUCUUCCGGGCCUCGCACAGUAGGCAAUUCCGCUCCCACCGAGCUACGCCCUCCGCC
rnacentral:lncRNA from 1 species